AUCUUUGAGAAUUGUGUGAGAAAAAUGAAGAUUCGAAGAGAGAGAAUUUUGAGAGAGUUCUUGAAUUUUGAUCUGAAAAUUGUUGUUAUGGCAGUUAUGAUUAGGGUUUUGGUAUUUAUAUCCCUUGCUAAUGACAAUGCUAAUCCUAUUUUCCAUUAGUUAAUCAUGAUUAGUGAGAUAUGAAGCAACUUGCCAAAAUGCAAAUUAAGCUCUCCUUGCCAUAAUACACGUGCACCUCCUCAUGUUAUGAUUGGAAUUCACUCAAGAGAAACCA
rnacentral:lncRNA from 1 species